GACAAACGGCUGUCUGAGACAGAAAGAGUAGACAGAAGAAAGAUUUAAAGAGACGAGGACUAGAAGGGACCGAGGCCCUGGAACGCCGAAGGACGGAGCUCGUGACCAACGUCGGAGUCAACGGCUCCCUUAGUCGAGGGGGUCUGGCGCAGAAGGUGGAAGCCUAGGUGCAGCCCCAGGCUUGGGGCAGCAGCCGAGUUCCUGAAGGCCUAGUGUGCACCUCUCGGGAAGCGGACGCCUUCAGAGGUUCUCCAUGGUGGUGCUGGGCUUCCAGCGUGGGGCCGGACAGGAGGGGCUUCUCCUGCAGCAUUGCCCCCAGCCUCCCGAGCCGGCUCUGAGACGGGCAGCCAUGUCCAGGACGCCUGGCACCCCUCUCAGCCUUCUCCCCAGAUUAACCGGGAGGCUUUGGUUUUUCACAAGGAUCCCACGAUGGGGAUCUGGACUAGUUCCCAUUUCAACUGACAACAGGCUGUUUUAUGUUUAAAAAUAAAAACGAUAAAAUGACUUACAAUUAA